AGGACGAACGCUGGCGGCGUGCCUAACACAUGCAAGUCGAACGAGGUCCAUCCAGUGGCAACACUGGGGACGACCUAGUGGCGAACGGGUGAAUAACACGUGAGGAACUUGCCCCGGAGACCGGGAUAACCCUUCGAAAGGAGGGCUAAUACCGGAUGU
rnacentral:rRNA from 1 species